rnacentral:rRNA from 1 species
GAUGAACGCUAGCGGCAGGCUUAAUACAUGCAAGUCGUAGGGCAGCAUGAAGUAGCAAUACUUUGAUGGCGACCGGCAAACGGGUGCGGAACACGUACACAACCUUCCUGUUAGUGGGGAAUAGCACAGAGGAAUUUGGAUUAAUACCCCGUAACAUAGCGAUGAGGCAUCGCAUUGCUAUUAUAGCUUCGGAGCGAGAUGAUGGGUGUGCGUAUGAUUAGAUAGUUGGCGAGGUAACGGCUCACCAAGUCUACGAUCAUUAGCUGAUGUGAGAGCAUGAUCAGCCACACGGGCACUGAGACACGGGCCCGACUCCUACGGGAGGCAGCAGUAAGGAAUAUUGGUCAAUGGACGAAAGUCUGAACCAGCCAUGCCGCGUGAAGGAUUAAGGUCCUCUGGAUUGUAAACUUCUUUUAUAUGGGACGAAAAAAGGUCUUUCUAGAUCACUUGACGGUACCAUAUGAAUAAGCACCGGCUAACUCCGUGCCAGCAGCCGCGGUAAAAC